rnacentral:sRNA from 1 species
AAUCAAACCUCAUUAAAAAAAAGUGAUUCAUGACUUCAAAAAAUGAAAAACUAAUUAAUUGAAUCUAUAUGUAAAUAUAUCGAUAAUAUAAUAUACAAGAUUUUUCCGUGCGGACAACAAAAUCGAUCGCUUGUUAGUAAUCAAAUAUUUAUUGAGAAGAGUUGAAUUUAAGUUUGUCGUGAUGAUCUCUUACCUGAUUUCGUUAGAAAGGAGAAAAAAUCAUAACAAAUGAAGAUUUUUACGGUGGGCGGCGGCAACGAACAAAGUAGGUUAUCUUAUCGAAACUAUGAGGUUAAACAAAAGAUUACACAUAUUUAUAGAAUAACAAAAUAGGAUUAUGGUAACUCAAAGUCUCUAAUAUACAUCUUUUUAUAUCAACCACUCGUUUGUUUUAACCCAAUUCUGAUUGGUUACUGAAGAUAAAGUGUAAUCCACAAUGGCUUCUAAAUGUUUUAAAUUUUAGAUUAGAUU